CUCGUCGAAAGUCUUCCAUUCUUCAAACUAGAUUAUUUAAAAAUGAAAAAGGAAGAAAGGAAAGCGAGGUCAUCUCAUUGCUCUAUCCGCCAAUCAGGAGGCUGAAUGUCAGUUUUGAACUAAAAGCCGCUCCGCUCCUCUUCUAGAUUUGGAAAACAAGCGAAAUUAAACUAAACCGCUGCACGCCUCUGACGCGACAUCUGGACACGGCGCGGCGCUGGCGCUGCCGGAGCUGUCGACCCGGCCUGGCGCCGGACUAGUGUCCCUUUUGAUGAGAAGAAUAAGCCUCAUUCUGAUUCAACAGCAGAGAUCAAAGAAAAGACUUCUGUUUUCUGGCCACCAGAUAUAUGUUAUCUGUGCUUAAAGAAUUGAAAAACACACAUCAAAGGAGAAUUUUCUUGGAAAGAGAGGGUUCAAGCAUCACUGUUAGGUGUGCUGGAAUCCUUUCCCGAGUCAGUACUGCUUUCUAGAAGAAAACCGGGGAGAUCUAUUUGGAAUGUAUCUAACUCCAAAGAAACCAUCAGAGGUAACAGUAGAGACGGGGUUUCACCAUGUUGGCCAGACUGGUCUUGAACUCUCGACCUCGUGAUUCGCCCGCCUCGGCCUCCCAAAGUGCUGGGAUUACAGGUGUGAGACACCACACCCGGCGGAUAGAGAGAAUUUUGACAGGUGAUGGAGGCUUUUUAUUUUGCCACAAAACCACUGGUGACGUUGCCUGUGGCCACCUUGGAGAAGACACUGGAGAUGAUUACGGAGCUAGGAAUUUCCUACGAAGCUGGGUGAUAAAAGGACAUUGGACAAAAACACAGAUAGCUUCAUUCUAUACCAGGAUCCAUCACUGAUUAGCUGUAUUAUAUUUGUCUCUACUGUAAUUUGAGGAGAAUGAUACCUGCUUCUCUAUCUUGUUGGGUUUUACAGAUGAUGUAUUGAAAGUUCAAUAAAAUCUAUAAACAAU
rnacentral:antisense_RNA from 1 species